ACUCCUACGGGAGGCAGCAGUGGGGAAUAUUGCACAAUGGGCGCAAGCCUGAUGCAGCCAUGCCGCGUGUAUGAAGAAGGCCUUCGGGUUGUAAAGCACUUUCAGUCGUGAGGAAGGUAGUGUAGUUAAUAGCUGCAUUAUUUGACGUUAGCGACAGAAGAAGCACCGGCUAACUCCGUGCCAGCAGCCGCGGUAAUACGGAGGGUGCGAGCGUUAAUCGGAAUUACUGGGCGUAAAGCGCAUGCAGGUGGUUUGUUAAGUCAGAUGUGAAAGCCCGGGGCUCAACCUCGGAAUAGCAUUUGAAACUGGCAGACUAGAGUACUGUAGAGGGGGGUAGAAUUUCAGGUGUAGCGGUGAAAUGCGUAGAGAUCUGAAGGAAUACCGGUGGCGAAGGCGGCCCCCUGGACAGAUACUGACACUCAGAUGCGAAAGCGUGGGGAGCAAACAGGAUUAGAUACCCUGGUAGGAUAGCG
rnacentral:rRNA from 1 species